rnacentral:misc_RNA from 1 species
GCCUUUGUGCCAUUUUUGGAACUAGAUGGGUCACCAGAAAUUCCUGAAAUGAAUUGCAGAGAAAUUGAAGAGAAAAAUAACAAUAAUAAGAAAGGCGAACGCAACGAUCUGGUUCUUGAGAUUGCUGUCAUCCCUCUCAGCCUCUGAUAAAUUCUCUCUCGUCGACGGUGGAGAGAUCGCUUUCCUCUGAAACUUUAAGCUCCCAAUUUUUCAAAUAAUGAAAUUAACAGGGCGUUUUU